GAUGAAGAACGUAGCGAAAUGCGAUAAGUAAUGUGAAUUGCAGAAUUCAGUGAAUCAUCGAAUCUUUGAACGCACAUUGCGCCCGCCAGUAUUCUGGCGGGCAUGCCUGUUCGAGCGUCAUUUCAACCAUCAAGCCCCCGGCUUGUGUUGGGGACCUGCGGCUGCCGCAGGCCCUGAAAACCAGUGGCGGGCUCGCUAGUCACUCCGAGCGUAGUAAUACAUCUCGCUCAGGGCGUGCUGCGGGUUCCGGCCGUUAAAAAAGCCUUAUUUACCCAAGGUUGACCUCGGAUCAGGUAGGAAGACCCGCUGAACUUAAGCAUAUCAAUAAGCGAGGA
rnacentral:misc_RNA from 1 species